rnacentral:rRNA from 1 species
UGGAACGGCUGCUAAAACCCCAUAUGCCGAGAGGUGAAAAAGAUUUCUGCCUAAGGAAGAGCUCGCGGCUGAUUAGCUAGUUGGUAGGAUAAAAGACUACCAAGGCAACGAUCAGUAGCUGGUUUGAGAGGACGAUCAGCCACACUGGGACUGAGACACGGCCCAGACUCCUACGGGAGGCAGCAGUGGGGAAUCUUCUGCAAUGGGCGAAAGCCUGACAGAGCAAUACCGCGUGAGGGAUAAAAGCCUGAGGGUCGUAAACCUCUUUUUUCAGGGAAGAAAUUUGACGGUACCUGAAGAAUAAGCAUCGGCUAACUCCGUGCCAGCAGCCGCGGUAAUACGGAGGAUGCAAGCGUUAUCCGGAAUCACUGGGCGUAAAGCGUCUGUAGGUGGCUUUUCAAGUCUGCUGUUAAAGACUGAGGCUUAACCUCAGAAAAGCAGUGGAAACUGACAAGCUAGAGCAUGGUAGGGGUAAAGGGAAUUCCCAGUGUAGCGGUGAAUGCGUAGAUUUGGGAAGAACACCUGUGGCGAAGCGCUUUCUGGACAUUGCUGACACUGAGAGACGAAGCUAGGGUAGAAAUGGGAUUAUUACCCCAGUAGUC